rnacentral:precursor_RNA from 1 species
GCAUUGCUGUUAGUUUGUGGGAUGGUGCUGACGCCUGUUUGCGCCAACCCACUAACCGACGGGACUGUU